CUCGGAUAACAGAUCUUGCACGAAUGUUUUUACAGACCUUGUACUUGAUACUGAUUGGACAUUGAGGCUCAAGAGAUUUGAAACCUCCUGGAGAUGAGAUUUGAGUCCCGCCCUUGUCACCGGGCCCUAAGGGUUUGCAGCAUAGAUCCCCUCCCCAAACGUGCGGAAAGCAAUCUACUUAGAAUUCCUUUCUUCUGAUCCACUGUCUCAAGGGAAGGAAUUAAUGUAGUAAUGACUCCAAUUUAGGCUCUUAUGUGUCACAUUAGCACAGUUUUUGUAAUGGUUCUCUGCAAUAUACUAGGAACGCAAUAAAGGAGAUAGCUGCGAUUUGAAAUGGAACUGAUGGAAUCAAGUUUCCAUAGAUUAAUGGGAUUAAGAAGGUGAGAACUCUGUGGUGUUUAAAGGUGGGACCUUUGGGAAACUACUAUAUGAGGUCAAUGUGGGUGUCCCCAGAGAAAAAGAGACUAGAUUUCUGUGCACCCCACCGUGAGAUGACACAGCCUGAGGAGCCUGAUGGAAUCUAUACGGUGCUGCACCAAGCUUGAGGACUUUGAAUCUCCAAAAUGGAAAUAAAACUCACUGUGUCAUAAAAA
rnacentral:lncRNA from 1 species